GACGAACGCUGGCGGCGUGCUUAACACAUGCAAGUCGAACGGAAAGGCCCUGCUUUUGUGGGGUGCUCGAGUGGCGAACGGGUGAGUAACACGUGAGUAACCUGCCCUUGACUUUGGGAUAACUUCAGGAAACUGGGGCUAAUACCGGAUAGGAGCUCCUGCUGCAUGGUGGGGGUUGGAAAGUUUCGGCGGUUUGGGAUGGACUCGCGGCUUAUCAGCUUGUUGGUGGGGUAGUGGCUUACCCAGGCUUUGACGGGUAGCCCGCCCGAGAGGGUGACCGGCCACAUGGGGCCUGAGAGACGGCGCAGACUCCUACGGGAGGCAGCAGGGGGGAAUAUUGCACAAUGGGCGGAAGCCUGAUGCAGCAACGCCGCGUGCGGGAUGACGGCCUUCGGGGUGUAAACCGCUUUCGCCUGUGACGAAGCGUGAGUGACGGUAAUGGGUAAAGAAGCACCGGCUAACUACGUG
rnacentral:rRNA from 1 species